UACGUAGGUGACCAGCGUUGUCCGGAUUUACUGGGCGUAAAGAGCGCGCAGGCGGUCGUUCAAGUCGAGUGUGAAAGCCCCCGGCUCAACUGGGGAGGGUCAUUCGAUACUGAUCGACUCGAAGGCAGGAGAGGGAAGUGGAAUUCCCGGUGUAGUGGUGAAAUGCGUAGAUAUCGGGAGGAACACCAGUGGCGAAGGCGACUUCCUGGCCUGUUCUUGACGCUGAGGCGCGAAAGCGUGGGGAGCGAACAGG
rnacentral:rRNA from 1 species